AUGCCAUGUCUGUCCUCCCCCCCUCCCAGCCUGGCAUCCCCCCGUCCCUCACCUUCCACCUCAUCCUCCUCACCCUCGCCGUCUCCUCCCCUCUCUCCUCCAGGGGGAGCGCUGUGGGGCAGGACGGCCUGGUGGCUCAGCGGAGUUCCUACAGCCGCUACAGGAACCCUGCCCCGUUGCCUGAGGGGGUGGCCGGUGGCGCUGAGAGGAGAGCGGGUGAGUGGGGCAGGUGCAGGAUGCCACACUGAACCGGGACGGGGUUUACAACUCUUACUGUGGGCGGGGGUGUGUGUGUCCGGACUGGGAUCGGCCCUUGGCAUCCUGGCAGGUGGGCAUCUCGCUGCUCUGAGCCACCCACCUCGAAGCCCAGCACACAGGCUGCAGCUGCCCCUAGAGCCUGGUAGUUCAGGGGGUCCUGUCCCAGCCCCUUGGAGCCUGCCGGAGUGCUGCCAAAUCUUCACUGGUCUCUUACCGCCACCCCACACCCUGCUACACUCGGCAUUGGGGUCAGCACUGACUGCCAGGUGUACUGAGACCCCCACGUCCUCCCUGCUCCCUGCAGCACAGCGCCCCCUAGGGGCAUACUGGGACAUUGGGGCCAGCAGAGCUACUGACCCCACUCCCUGCAGUCCCGAGGCGGCUAGGGUAGGAGGUGGGGGGAUUGGGAGCCACUAUCAGGGAAGUUACAAGAAUUGCUGCUCACUCCCCAUUUUCCUCGUUGACCCAGAGAGCAGCCGAGAGCCACUAAGGAGACUCCAGGACUCAGAAGGCCGGUUGGACAGCACAAUAAUCACCAGCCAGGACCCAUCACAUCCAGCCCUCCUACCCCAGCCAGGUGGGAUGGUCCGUCACUCUGAGGGCACCUCCCCUCCCACCGAGCCGGCCCUGACGGACAGGACUAAAGACCCAGGCAUCCGGAAGGCCUCGGAGUCAAAGCCCUCAGGCCGAGGAGAUCCUGUGGACUGCCUCCCUCCACGGCUCGACAGCAGGUGGUACGACCGAGCCAGAGUGCCAUGGGGGAAGCAGCUAUCUUGGACAGUAGCGGGAGUGUCACGGGACGCCCAAUGGAUCCGCUACAAGCAGGAAUAUCGCAACACCAGGCCCUGGUGAGCAGGGGGGCAGCUAGCACUAAGCCAGCAGAGACCCAGGCCAACAGGCCCAUCUAGUCGGUAUCCUGGCUCCUCUCUAUUGCACCAGACAGACCAAUGAGCCCAUCUAGCCUGGUAUCCUGCCUUCUCCCUGCCAGGACCAAUGGGCCCAUGUCGCUUGGUAUCCCAGUAUAAGCUUGAUUGUCUACUGGCUGGAAGGAUUCCCCUGAAAUUCCACCUGGUCCAUCCCAGCCCCUGGUGGCUUUGGUCUGGAAAGUUUGGGAGGGGCUGUCACAUGAGGUUUUGGGGAGAGAAAAGGAGGCCCCAAGACCGGGCACCAGUGUCCUCCCCCGCGCCUCCCCCUCCCCCCCCGCGGUGUUUUCACUCUCGUUAGCACUGGGGGUAGUUGGCAGGGAGAGAGGAGCCAGGGAGGGGUCACUGCGCAGAGGGCACAGAGCUGGAGACAUCAGGGAGCUGGGCAGUGGGAUACGUUCUCUCUAAACCCGUGUUUGGAUGGGAAAUUGGGUUUUCGAUGAGAUGGAAUUGUUCCGUGAAAAGCAACUGCUCCUUGUGGGGAAUUUCCAUUCCCUCCCCCACACCUCAAAAAAACGAAAAUAUUUCAAUUCUGCAAGGCCGCCACAGAGCCUUAUGGGAGUUGUAGUUCAGUUUACUCCUGUCCCCAUGGUCGACUAUGGGCCAGGCUCCCUGGCUGGACUAUGUCUCCCAUGAUGCAUCUGCCUCUCCUCACCAAGAGACUGUGGUGAAUCAUGGGAGAUGUAGCCCCUCUAGGAAGCCCAGCUUAGGGAAGAAUUUGGGGGCAUGAGACACCUGAACUACGAUUCCCAUUAUGCAGCAUGACCAGGGGCUCCCAUGAUGCAACCGCCUCCCCUCUCGAAGAGCUCACAGUUAAGGCUGCAUGUCUGUCACAGUCACGGAGGUUACAGAUUCCAUUACUUUUGCAGCGGCUGGUGCAACUGACUCAGGGGCUGCCCGAACAUUUUGGGUGUGGGAGGGGGUCUCAUGUCCCUGUGGCUCCUAGGUGGAGGGGCCAGGGGGCUCUGUGCGCUGCCCCUGCUUGCAGGCACCACCUCCGCAGCUCCCACUGGCUGCGGUUCCCGGCCAAUGGGAGCUGCAGAGCCAGAUCUCGUGGCAGGGGCAGUGCACAGAGCUCACCUAGCCUUCCCUCCCUCUAGGAGAUGCAGGACAUGCCGGCUGCUUCCGGGGAGCUGCGCGGAGCUGGGUAGGGAGGCUGCCAGUCCCUCCAACCCCACCCAGCACCAGCGGGGGUCCCAGGCCGUGCACUGCCACCCACCAGCCCCAGCACCCGUGGGGGUCCCAGACCAUUCCUCCAGCACCUCCGGCCGCCCUGGCCCCCGGAGCACCCGUGGCACCCUGGCCCAAGUUUUAGUUAGGGGCAUAUAGUACAAGUCAUGGACAGGCCACGGGCUGUGUAUUUUUGUUUACUACCCGUGACCUGUCCAUGACUUCUACUAAAAAUACCCAUGACCAAAACAUAGCCUUACUCAUGGCACAUCAUCGGAUAGAUCUACAGUGGAGGCCCAGCCUACAGCAGAAUAACCCUUCUGAACUGCAACUCCCAUGAUGCAUCUGCCUCUCUUCCCUGAGAGACUGGUGUAUCAUGGGAGAUGUAGUCCAACCUGGGAGCCUGGACUGAAGACACCCGAACUACAACUCCCAUGAGGCACUGUAACAGCUUGUUUAAAUCGAAAUAUUUCACUUUUCAGACUAAAUGUUUCCUAUUUGAAUUUUUGCUGAAAGAUUGAAUGUUUUCACGGGGACCUGCCCCUCUCCCCCACCCCCUCCAUUUUCCUAACUAGUUCUGGGUCAAAUGCUGCCAUGGGUCAUAGCAGAGCACCCAACUGCCCUACCCUAGAUACAUUCCUAUGGGGGUGGGACAUCUGUGGGGAGGAGAUCCCCCUGCCUCCCUGCUCUCUGUCUUUCAUCCCUCAUCUAGACACCAUCAGUCAUCUCUUUCUCCAUCUCUCUCUCUAAGCCUCUCAAUGCCCCGCCUCCCAGGCCCCCACUCCCUGGCUGCUCCUUGCUGGGGCGUUAGAGUUAACAUCAAUGGAGAGGGGUGGAGCCAGAGAUGCAAGUGGGUGGGGUCAAUGGAAGGUACUCAAGAUCGGGGCUGUGACCCAUACCAGAUAGCAGGGAGCCACUGCCCCUUUCCAUGGUGCUGGGGAGUCCAGGCAGAGAGGAGUGGGAUCCCAGUAUGGAAAAGGCCAAGCCCCAAUCGAUUGUUUGCAUAUCCCAGUUAUUUGGUGCUACGGGGGGUUUUACAAUUUCCCAUCCUGCCGGUUCUGGCCUCUGCACUUGUAUGAUGGUUUUAAGAGCGGCAGGGUGUUGGGCCUUUUAAAGAGAAUGAAAUAAACAAACCAGCGAACAGAUGGAUCUGCA
rnacentral:lncRNA from 1 species